UGGCGGACGGGUGAGUAAUGUCUGGGAAACUGCCCGAUGGAGGGGGAUAACUACUGGAAACGGUAGCUAAUACCGCAUAACGUCGCAAGACCAAAGAGGGGGACCUUCGGGCCCCUUGCCAUCGGAUGUGCCCAGAUGGGAUUAGCUAGUAGGUGGGGUAACGGCUCACCUAGGCGACGAUCCCUAGCUGGUCUGAGAGGAUGACCAGCCACACUGGAACUGAGACACGGUCCAG
rnacentral:rRNA from 1 species